AUGACCUCACCACCUCCUCCACAGCCACCACCAAGGUCCACCCGCCCACCUUGGAGAUCUUCCAGACCUGCGGUGACCACGGCCUGCCUCACCUGGUUGGUGGACGGCUUCCCCCUGCUGGGAGGACACGCCCACACCCAGGAGGCCACGCCCGACCACGCCCCGGGGACCUUCCGGGUCACCUCGCGCCUCAACGUCACCGCGGCCGAGUGGAGGGAGCAGAGCUUCUCCUGCCGGGUGGGACACGCCGCUUCCGGAAGCUUCCAGGAGGUGACGGCGCGCAGCUGUGCCGCCCCCACCACCAGCCUGAUCAACACCUUCGUCCUCCCGCCCUCCCCCUCGGACCUCUACAUCUCCCAGGAGGCCAAGCUGCUGUGCCUGGUCACCAGCCUGCCCAGCGACGAUGGCCUGGCCGUGGCCUGGAGCCGCGAGCCCGCCGGCCACCUCAGCCCGCCCCUCCCCCUGCGGGUCACCCCCCAGUUCAACGGGACCUUCUCGGCCACCAGCGAGCUGCCGCUGACCGCCGGCGACUGGGAGAGCGGCGCCGCCUUCGUCUGCCGGGUCAGCCACGCCGAGCUGCCGGCGCCGCGGGAGAGGCGGCUGCAGAGGCGGCCAGGAACGCGCCUCCCCCCUUCCGUCUUCCUCCUCCCCCCUCCCCCGGAGGAAAUUUCCGGCCCCCGCCCCUCCCUCAGCCUCACCUGCCUGGCCCGCGGCUUCUUCCCGGAAGCCAUCGACAUCCAAUGGCACCGCGACGGCCACGCCCCUUCCUCUUCCGGCCCCGCGCCGGAACCGGAAGUGACGCCGUGGGAAGCGCGACGCGAGCGGGGGGGGGAGGGGAGCUACUUCCUGUACAGUCGCCUGGAAGUGACGCGGGAGGAGUGGGAGGGCGGGGCCUCCUUCGUCUGCACCGUGGUGCACGAGGCGCUGCCCCUGCGCUUCCUGCAGCGCCGCAUCGCCCGCCAGCCCGAGCUGCAGCUGCCCCCUGAUCUCUGCCGGGAGGAGCCCGGAGGGGACCCCUGGGACACUUUGGGGGUGGUGAUCACCCUCUUCCUCCUCAGCGUGGGCUACGGAGCCACCGUCACCCUCUGCAAGGUGCAGUGGGUGCUGAGCUCCCUCCUGAGGCUGAGCGUCCAGCAAGGGGCCUGAGAACGGUUCUUACUGGUUUAUACUGGUUUAUACUGGUUUGAACUGGUUUGGACUGGUUUGGACUGGUUUGAACUGGUUUAUACUGGUUUAUACUGGUUUAUACUGGUUUGAACUGAUUUAUACUGGUUUGAACUGGUUUGGACUGGUUUGGACUGGUUUAUACUGGUUUGAACUGGUUUGGACUGGUUUAUACUGGUUUAUACUGGUUUAUACUGGUUUAUACUGGUUUAUACUGGUUUAUACUGGUUUAUACUGGGGGAAAUUCUCAGUUUUGGCGGGAAAAAUUUGGGGGAAUUUUGGGGG